GUAAAAUUAGUUUAAUGGUAAAAUAACGUCUUGUGGCGACGGUGGAUCUGGGUUCAAAUCCUAGAUUUUACC